rnacentral:rRNA from 1 species
UACGUAGGUCCCGAGCGUUGUCCGGAUUUAUUGGGCGUAAAGCGGGCGCAGGUGGUUUAUUAAGUCUGGUGUAAAAGGCAGUGGCUCAACCAUUGUAUGCAUUGGAAACUGGUAGACUUGAGUGCAGGAGAGGAGAGUGGAAUUCCAUGUGUAGCGGUGAAAUGCGUAGAUAUAUGGAGGAACACCGGUGGCGAAAGCGGCUCUCUGGCCUGUAACUGACACUGAGACUCGAAAGCGUGGGGAGCAAACAGG